rnacentral:rRNA from 1 species
GAUGAACGCUGGCGGCGUGCCUAAUACAUGCAAGUCGAGCGAAUGGAUUAAGAGCUUGCUCUUAUGAAGUUAGCGGCGGACGGGUGAGUAACACGUGGGUAACCUGCCCAUAAGACUGGGAUAACUCCGGGAAACCGGGGCUAAUACCGGAUAACAUUUUGAACCGCAUGGUUCGAAAUUGAAAGGCGGCUUCGGCUGUCACUUAUGGAUGGACCCGCGUCGCAUUAGCUAGUUGGUGAGGUAACGGCUCACCAAGGCAACGAUGCGUAGCCGACAUGAGAGGGUGAUCGGCCACACUGGGACUGAGACACGGCCCAGACGCCUACGGGAGGCAGCAGUAGGGAAUCGUCCGCAAUGGACGAAAGUCUGACGGAGCAACGCCGCGUGAGUGAUGAAGGCUUUCGGGUCGUAAAACUCUGUUGUUAGGGAAGAACAAGUGCUAGUUGAAUAAGCUGGCACCUUGACGGUACCUAACCAGAAAGCCACGGCUAACUACGUGCCAGCCGCCGCAGUAA